ACUUAGUCUCCAGGCGGGAGUUUGAUCCUGGCUCAGGACGAACGCUGGCGGCGUGCCUAAUACAUGCAAGUCGAGCGGACAGAAGGGAGCUUGCUCCCGGAUGUUAGCGGCGGACGGGUGAGUAACACGUGGGUAACCUGCCUGUAAGACUGGGAUAACUCCGGGAAACCGGAGCUAAUACCGGAUAGUUCCUUGAACCGCAUGGUUCAAGGAUGAAAGACGGUUUCGGCUGUCACUUACAGAUGGACCCGCGGCGCAUUAGCUAGUUGGUGAGGUAACGGCUCACCAAUGGCGACGAUGCGUAGCCGACCUGAGAGGGUGAUCGGCCACACUGGGACUGAGACACGGCCCAGACUCCUACGGGAGGCAGCAGUAGGGAAUCUUCCGCAAUGGACGAAAGUCUGACGGAGCAACGCCGCGUGAGUGAUGAAGGUUUUCGGAUCGUAAAGCUCUGUUGUUAGGGAAGAACAAGUGCAAGACGUAACUGCUUGCACCUUGACGGUACCUAACCAGAAAGCCACGGCUAACUACGUGCCAGCAGCCGCGGUAAUACGUAGGUGGCAAGCGUUGUCCGGAAUUAUUGGGCGUAAAGGGCUCGCAGGCGGUUUCUUAAGUCUGAUGUGAAAGCCCCCGGCUCAACCGGGGAGGGUCAUUGGAAACUGGGAAACUUGGAGUGCAGAAGAGGAGAGUGGAAUUCCACGUGUAGCGGUGAAAUGCGUAGAGAUGUGGAGGAACACCAGUGGCGAAGGCGACUCUCUGGUCUGUAACUGACGCUGAGGAGCGAAAGCGUGGGGAGCGAACAGGAUUAGAUAACCCUGGUAGUCCACGCCGUAAACGAUGAGUGCUAAGUGUUAGGGGGUUUCCGCCCCUUAGUGCUGCAGCUAACGCAUUAAGCACUCCGCCUGGGGAGUACGGUCGCAAGACUGAAACUCAAAGGAAUUGA
rnacentral:rRNA from 1 species